CUACGAUAAAGGCAAACUGCGGAUGACCGCAGGACGCAAAGUAAAGGAUCUUAUGCUUACAGGGACGUGAGACAAGACAGCCUUACAUGCCGAA
rnacentral:ncRNA from 1 species